rnacentral:rRNA from 1 species
UACAGAGGUCUCAACCGUUGUUCGGAUUCAUUGGGCGUAAAGGGUGCGUAGGCGGUCGCGUAAGUCGGGUGUGAAAUCCUAGGGCUCAACCCUGGAACUGCAUUCGAUACUGCGUGGCUAGGGUGCUGGAGAGGAGACUGGAAUUUACGGUGUAGCAGUGAAAUGCGUAGAUAUCGUAAGGAAGACCAGUGGCGAAGGCGAGUCUCUGGACAGUUACCGACGCUGAGGCACGAAGGCCAGGGGAGCAAACGGG